GAUGAACGCUGGCGGCGUGCUUAACACAUGCAAGUCGAACGGAAAGGCUCCUGCUUGCAGGGGUACUCGAGUGGCGAACGGGUGAGUAACACGUGGGUGAUCUGCCCUGCACUUCGGGAUAAGCCUGGGAAACUGGGUCUAAUACCGGAUAGGACGAUGGUUUGGAUGCCAUUGUGGAAAGUUUUUCGGUGUGGGAUGAGCUCGCGGCCUAUCAGCUUGUUGGUGGGGUGAUGGCCUACCAAGGCGUCGACGGGUAGCCGGCCUGAGAGGGUGUACGGCCACAUUGGGACUGAGAUACGGCCCAGACUCCUACGGGAGGCAGCAGUGGGGAAUAUUGCACAAUGGGCGCAAGCCUGAUGCAGCGACGCCGCGUGGGGGAUGACGGCCUUCGGGUUGUAAACUCCUUUCGUCAGGGACGAAGCGAAAGUGACGGUACCUGGAUAAGAAGCACCGGCUAACUACGUG
rnacentral:rRNA from 1 species